AGGAGGAACAGCCCCAGUGGCGGGGCCAGGUCUGGAAACCUGGAUUCAGCUCCUGCAGGAACUCGGUCUGCAGGGCCUGGAGGCUCUGGGGCGGG
rfam:Canis lupus familiaris chromosome X, whole genome shotgun sequence.